UGCUCUUGUUCAAAGAAAUUUUUCGAAAAUACUGGAGAUAUAGACUCUACAUUUGAUGCAUUUUGGAAUUUGGCUGAUUUUAGUUGUCAAAAUGCUUACCUUAUGGCUCUAAUGAAAAUAACUGAAGCAAAGAGAAGUGCCUGAGAGAGAGAAAGCAUGAAGUUUCUAGCAGGGAAGUUACAUUCCAGUACAAAAUUCAUAGCAUUUUAAACAUCCAUGGUGUACAGAAUCAUAUCGGAAGAAUUCGGAAUCUACAGAACCAACUCAAAAGUGACUGCUCUGUUGCAAAACUAGAUCAGAAAGCUGAAGUAAACGCACAAACCAUCCUUAUGCACAUGAAGAAGACAG